rnacentral:lncRNA from 7 species
GAUGGUCAAGGUGGUGAUGAAAGGAAGGUACCAAAAGUCCAAAAGCACUUAGUGCCCAGCCGACAACGAUGAGGAGCACGCAGUAGGGCACCGAGCAAGCGAAAGAAGAUAGGCCAGCUGCCUGCGCGGAUGAGGAGGCACCUCUUCUGACGUUAGUUA